rnacentral:tRNA from 2 species
GCGUGCGGUGAUUUUGUGACACCCUGCCUUCCAAGCAGGCUGUCGCGGGUUCGAGUCCCGUCUCCCGCUCCA